rnacentral:rRNA from 1 species
AUUGAACGCUGGCGGCAUGCCUUACACAUGCAAGUCGAACGGCAGCACGGGAGCAAUUCUGGUGGCGAGUGGCGAACGGGUGAGUAAUAUAUCGGAACGUGCCCAGUCGUGGGGGAUAACGUAGCGAAAGCUACGCUAAUACCGCAUACGAUCUAUGGAUGAAAGCGGGGGAUCGCAAGACCUCGCGCGAUUGGAGCGGCCGAUAUCAGAUUAGGUAGUUGGUGAGGUAAAGGCUCACCAAGCCGACGAUCUGUAGCUGGUCUGAGAGGACGACCAGCCACACUGGGACUGAGACACGGCCCAGACUCCUACGGGAGGCAGCAGUGGGGAAUUUUUGGGACAAAUGGGCGCAAGCCUGAUCCAGCAAUGCCGCGUGCAGGAUGAAGGGCCUUCGGUUG